GGUCCUAUAGCUCAGUUGGUUAGAGCACCUGACUCAUAAUCAGGGAGUCCUUGGUUCAAGCCCAAGUGGGACCAC
rnacentral:tRNA from 10 species